rnacentral:rRNA from 1 species
AUUGAACGCUGGCGGCAGGCUUAACACAUGCAAGUCGAGCGGAGCGAGGGUGCUUGCACCUUAGCUUAGCGGCGGACGGGUGAGUAAUGCUUAGGAAUCUGCCUAUUAGUGGGGGACAACAUUCCGGAAGGAAUGCUAACACCGCAUACUCCCUUCGGGGGAAGGCAGGGGAUCUUUAGACCUUGCGCUAAUAGAGGAGCGUCAGUCGGCUUAGCUAGUUGGUGGGGUAAAGGCCUACCAAGGCGACGAUCUGUAGCGGGUCUGAGAGGAUGAUCCGCCACACUGGGACUGAGACACGGCCCAGACUCCUACGGGAGGCAGCAGUGGGGAAUAUUGGACAAUGGGCGGAAGCCGGAUCCAGCCAUGCCGCGUGUGUGAAGAAGGCCUUUUGGUUGUAAAGCACUUUAAGCGAGGAGGAGGAGCCCUAGGUUAAUACCCUAGAUGCUUGGACGUUACUCGCAGAAUAAGCACCGGCUAACUCUGUGCCAGCAGCCGCGGUAAAAC